AGUGGAUUAGGCAUGCAAGUCGAGCUGGCCAGCAAUGGUCAGCGGCGCAAGGGUGAGUAAGGCGACGGCAAUCAACCCCGAGGAUGGGUAUAGCCGCGGGAAACUGCGGGUAAUCCCCAGCGAUGCGAGGACGUCGGCAUCGACGUUUCGCCAAAGGAUUCGUCCGCCUCGGGACGAGCCGUCGUGGUAUUAGGUAGUUGGCGGGGUAGCGGCCCACCAAGCCGGCGAUGCCUACCGGGCGUGCGAGCGCGGCCCGGCACACUGGGACUGAGACACUGCCCAGACUCCUACGGGAGGCUGCAGUCGAGAAUCUUCGGCAAUGGGCGCAAGCCUGACCGAGCGACGUCGCGUGGAGGACGAAGGCCUUCGGGUUGUAAACUCCUGUCGAGGGGGAGAAAGGUCUCGCAAGAGGCUUGAUCGAUCCCCUGGAGGAAGCACGGGCUAAGUUCGUGCCAGCAGCCCCCCGGUAAGACGAACCGUGCGAACGUUAUUCGGAAUCACCUGGGCUUAAAGCGCGUGUAGGCGGAUUGGAACUGGCGCCUGAAAUCCCCCGGCUCAACCGGGGAAC
rnacentral:rRNA from 1 species